rnacentral:rRNA from 1 species
CCUACGGGAGGCAGCAGUGAGGAAUAUUGGUCAAUGGGCGGAAGCCUGAACCAGCCAAGUCGCGUGAGGGAUUAAGGCCCUGCGGGUCGUAAACCUCUUUUGCCGGGGAGCAGAGGUCCGGACGUGUCCGGGCCGGGAGAGUACCCGGAGAAAAAGCAUCGGCUAACUCCGUGCCAGCAGCCGCGGUAAUACGGAGGAUGCGAGCGUUAUCCGGAUUUAUUGGGUUUACAGGGUGCGUAGGCGGGCAUUUAAGCCGGCGGUCAAAUGUCGGGGCUCAACCCCGGCCUGCCGGCGGAACUGGGUGCCUUGAGUGGGCGAGAAGUAUGCGGAAUGCGUGGUGUAGCGGUGAAAUGCAUAGAUAUCACGCAGAACCCCGAUUGUGAAGGCAGCAUACCGGCGCCCUACUGACGCUGAGGCACGAAAGUGCGGGUAUCGAACAGGAUUAGAUACCCCGGUAGUC